UACGUAGGGGGCAAGCGUUGUCCGGAUUUAUUGGGCGUAAAGAGCGUGUAGGCGGCCAUACAGGUCAGCUGUGAAAACUCGAGGCUCAACCUCGAGACGUCGGUUGAAACCGUAUGGCUAGAGUCCGGAAGAGGAGAGUGGAAUUCCCGGUGUAGCGGUGAAAUGCGCAGAUAUCGGGAAGAACACCUAUGGCGAAGGCAGCUCUCUGGGACGGUACUGACGCUGAGGCACGAAAGCUAGGGGAGCAAACAGG
rnacentral:rRNA from 1 species